rnacentral:lncRNA from 1 species
CAGCACUCACACAUACACCUAUAAAGGUACUUAUGUUCACUCUGCCUUCACUGCAUCUAUAGCAGCAGAAUCUACACUCAGGGUGAGAAAUGGUAAAAAGAACCGUAUCUGUAAAUUAAUCAGGGCCCUGAUAAGUCUUCGCCGAGGAGCCUCACUGGUGCCUUAUUUACCUGAAGCCUGUAACACGUGUGCUACUGAGGAAGAUAAACCCAGUUAUCUGUCUUUGGUCUUUGUCCCCCUGCAGGGUGGCCCACAUUACUGACAAGGUUUGCCAGCCACGGGGCGACACCCGAGCAGGCCUUCGCUUACUCUUUACAGCAAAUCUGCUUGUGAGCCAUUCAGACUCAUCCAUUAUUGAACGUCCACAGUUUCCGUUUCAUGGAAAGCGAGAAGACAGAGAGAAAAACAAACAGCGGGUGCCGCCACCCAGACAGGCACAGUGGUCAGUGGAACGGCGGACAGCAUGGAGGACGGCCAGACAGACUGCAUGGGUGUACACAAUGAGAUACAGACAGAAACACAAAGUGUGCCACUCUCUCAGCCUUCCGAGGAGCAGCCCAUUAUACAACAGGAUAAUCAAGAUCAGGAAAAUCCUAAGAGCUGCAGUGAGAAUGAACAAGAAACACAUGCUGAUCCUGAGCUAGAAGAAAAAAAUCAGAAACCUCAUGAAGAAUCUGAAGAGUAUGAAGAAGAGCAAAAUCUAGAUAGACAACAGGAGGAAUGGUUUGAACUAGAAGAACAGCUCCAGUCCUCGUAUCUAAUGUCAGGCUAUGAAGGUGUGCCCACUAACACAAAGGGAAUCUCCUCUGAACUCUGCUGGUACUGCAUUAAAUCCCUUCCGAGUGAAGAACAAAGUUUACCACAGCUCCAGCUGGAGAAUGAGGCUUUACCCACACUCAAUGGUGGUGAGCACUUAAACUACCUUCAGGACCCCAGGCCUCAUUUUGGGGUGGCACGCUCCUCGCGCUCUAUACCUUUCCCACUGUGGGACAGUGAGCGUCCCAGAGAGAUGAAGAGGGAUGCAGAUGAGGAGGAUGCAGAUUUUGUUACUAGUUGCCCGCACUGCCAUCUGGGGCUUCCACUUGAUACAUUACGCUGGCAUGAGGAAAAAUGCCUGUCAUUUGAAGGCCCGAAAACGGAUGCGUGAAAUUAAAUGUCAAGGGGAAAGAGGUCAGGUUUAUGAUUUACUGAAUUGUUAGAUCAGAAGCAAGCCUGUCUGAAGCAAGUAAUUUGUGCGGCAAUAAGGAGUUCAUUUAUUUAAAAAAAGGCUGUCAGCUAUUGUACAAUAUUUCCUUCGUAAAACUAUUUAUAAAUUAUGUUACAGGAUGACGUUUUAUUAGCUUUGAUAGACAGUAUUAGUGCCUAGGUUUGUUAGACUGCAUGCUGCAUCAUUAGUUAUAUUUAAUCUGUUUUCUUUUUUAAUUUAGUAUAUUGUUGACUGCCUUUGAAUGGAAUGUAUAGUAAGACACAGGAUUGAUGAGAUUUAAUACUACUAAUCUUACCUAUAGUUUUGAACACUUUAUUAAGAUAUAUUAAUGCUAAAUGUAAAUAUCUGUUGUAAUGUGCAAUGCUGUCAAAUAAAUGCUUUAUUAACUUUGUGAUUCA